rnacentral:rRNA from 1 species
UACAGAGGUCCCAAGCGUUGUUCGGAUUCACUGGGCGUAAAGGGUGCGUAGGUGGUCGGGUAAGUUUGAUGUGAAAUCUCCGGGCUUAACCCGGAAAUGGCAUUGAAUACUAUUCGGCUAGAGAGUUGGAGGGGGGACUGGAAUUCUCGGUGUAGCAGUGAAAUGCGUAGAUAUCUGGAGGAACACCGGUGGCGAAGGCGGCAUCCUGGACCGGUAUUGACGCUGAGGCGCGAAAGCUAGGGGAGCAAACGGG